GAUGAACGCUAGCUACAGGCUUAACACAUGCAAGUCGAGGGACCGGCGCACGGGUGAGUAACACGUAUCCAACCUGCCCCUUACUCGGGGAUAGCCUUUCGAAAGAAAGAUUAAUACCCGAUAUAAAGGAUGGGGAUGCGUUCCAUUAGGUUGUUGGUGAGGUAACGGCUCACCAAGCCUUCGAUGGAUAGGGGUUCUGAGAGGAAGGUCCCCCACAUUGGAACUGAGACACGGUCCAAACUCCUACGGGAGGCAGCAGUGAGGAAUAUUGGUCAAUGGGCGCUAGCCUGAACCAGCCAAGUAGCGUGAAGGAUGGAGGCUUAUGGGUCGUAAACUUCUUUUAUAUAAGAAUAUGUAUUAUAUGAAUAAGGAUCGGCUAACUCCGUGCCAGCAGCCGCGGUAAUACGGAGGAUCCGAGCGUUAUCCGGAUUUAUUGGGUUUAAAGGGAGCGUAGGUGGACUGGUAAGUCAGUUGUGAAAGUUUGCGGCUCAACCGUAAAAUUGCAGUUGAUACUGUCAGUCUUGAGUACAGUAGAGGUGGGCGGAAUUCGUGGUGUAGCGGUGAAAUGCUUAGAUAUCACGAAGAACUCCGAUUGCGAAGGCAGCUCACUGGACUGCAACUGACACUGAUGCUCGAAAGUGUGGGUAUCAAACAGGAUUAGAUACCCUGGUAGUCCACACAGUAAACGAUGAAUACUCGCUGUUUGCAAGGGCC
rnacentral:rRNA from 1 species